rnacentral:rRNA from 1 species
GACAGAGGGGGCAAGCGUUGCUCGGAAUUACUGGGCGUAAAGGGCGCGUAGGCGGGAUGGUAAGUCGGUCGUGAAAUCCCUCGGCUCAACCGAGGAACGUCGAUCGAUACUACCGUUCUUGAGGAUUGCAGAGGAGACUGGAAUUCCCGGUGUAGCGGUAGAAAUGUGUAGAGAUCGGGAGGAACACCGUGGUGGAGGACGGGCGCCUGGCGAAUCCCUAG